UACGGGGGGGGCAAGCGUUGUUCGGAAUUACUGGGCGUAAAGGGCUCGUAGGUGGCCAACUAAGUCAGACGUGAAAUCCCUCAGCUUAACUGGGGAACUGCGUCUGAUACUGGAUGGCUUGAGUUUGGGAGAGGGAUGCGGAAUUCCAGGUGUAGCGGUGAAAUGCGUAGAUAUCUGGAGGAACACCCGUGGCGAAAGCGGCUCUCUGGAACGGUACUGACGCUGAGGCGCGAAAGCGUGGGUAGCAAACAGG
rnacentral:rRNA from 1 species